AAAUGAAUUGACGGGGGCCCGCACAAGCAGUGGAGUAUGUGGUUUAAUUCGACGCAACGCGAAGAACCUUACCAGGUCUUGACAUCCAACUAAGACUGUAGAGAUACGGUUGUGCCCUUCGGGGAAAGUUGAGACAGGUGGUGCAUGGUUGUCGUCAGCUCGUGUCGUGAGAUGUUGGGUUAAGUCCCGCAACGAGCGCAACCCUUGUCAUUAGUUGCUACGCAAGAGCACUCUAAUGAGACUGCCGUUGACAAAACGGAGGAAGGUGGGGACGACGUCAAAUCAUCAUGCCCCUUAUGACCUGGGCUACACACGUACUACAAUGGCCGUUAACAACGGGAAGCGAAGCCGCGAGGUGGAGCAAAACCUUAAAAACGGUCCCAGUUCAGAUUGCAGGCUGCAACUCGCCUGCAUGAAGUCGGAAUUGCUAGUAAUCGCAGAUCAUCAUGCUGCGGUGAAUACGUUCCCGGGCCUUGUACACACCGCCCGU
rnacentral:rRNA from 1 species